rnacentral:rRNA from 1 species
AGCGAACGCUGGCGGCAUGCCUUACACAUGCAAGUCGAACGGCAGCACGGGUGCUUGCACCUGGUGGCGAGUGGCGAACGGGUGAGUAAUACAUCGGAACGUACCUUAUCGUGGGGGAUAACGCAGCGAAAGCUGUGCUAAUACCGCAUACGCCCUGAGGGGGAAAGCGGGGGAUCGCAAGACCUCGCGCGAUUAGAGCGGCCGAUGCCUGAUUAGCUUGUUGGUGGGGUAAAAGCCCACCUAGGCGACGAUCAGUAGCUGGUCUGAGAGGACGAUCAGGCACACUGGGACUGAGACACGGCCCAGACUCCUACGGGAGGCAGCAGUGGGGAAUUUUGGACAAUGGGGGCAACCCUGAUCCAGCAAUGCCGCGUGAGUGAAGAAGGCCUUCGGGUUGUAAAGCUCUUUUGUCAGGGAAGAAACACCGGCUCUAACACAGUCCGGGAAUGACGGUACCCGCAGAAGAAGCCCCGGCUAACUUCGUGCCAGCCGCCGCGGUAA